rnacentral:rRNA from 1 species
AAUUGGCGGGGGAGCACCACAACAGGUGGAGCCUGCGGUUUAAUCGGACUCAACGCCGGAAAACUCACCAGAUAAGACAGCUGAAUGAUAGUCGGGCUGAAGACUCUACUUGACUAGCUGAGAGGAGGUGCAUGGCCGUCGUCAGUUCGUACUGUGAAGCAUCCUGUUAAGUCAGGCAACGAGCGAGACCCACGCCAACAGUUGCUAGCUCGUCCCCCGGGAUGGAGAGGACACUGUUGGGACCGCCUCUGCUAAAGAGGAGGAAGGAAUGGGCAACGGUAGGUCAGCAUGCCCCGAAUUAUCUGGGCUACACGCGGGCUACAAUGGGUGGGACAAUGGGUAUCGACACCGAAAGGUGAAGGCAAUCUCCUAAACCCAUCCUUAGUUCGGAUUGUGGGCUGCAACUCGCCCACAUGAAGCUGGAAUCUGUAGUAAUCG